UGCUCUCAUUCCCUUAGUUCUGCUUGGAUCCUGUUAUAACCCGGUGUUUUCGUAAUCUAGGUGACCCAAAUAAGACGCUGGUAUACUUAGUUUGAUUUCGAAAAAAAUCAAUUUUUGGUGAAAAAAUUCGAUACGGGGGGGUAUACACGAAAAAUGAAAAAACCCUAAGUUUGAAGGUCGAUAUCUCGGCUUCUAUGGGAGCUAUCGGGAAAAUUCCACCGGUUUUGUCUUAGUUUCGUCGUUCUGAAUCCAACGAGACCAUCCGCAAGGUCGUAGCUCUUCUAAUAGCUGAGAUAUGGCAUUUUUGAUGCCCAUUUUUGGCCUCAAAAACGGACGUCGAAAACGACUUUUUCAGGAUUUUCAAAGUGCUCUCAUUCCCUUAGUUCUGCUUGGAUCCUGUUAUAACCCGGUGUUUUCGUAAUCUAGGUGAUCCAAAUAAGACGCUGGUAUACUUAGUUUGAUUUCGAAAAAAAUCAAUUUUUGGUGAAAAAAUUCGAUACGGGGGGGUAUACCCGAAAAAUGAAAAAACCCUAAGUUUGAAGGUCGAUAUCUCGGCUUCUAUGGGAGCUAUCGGGAAAAUUCCACCGGUUUUGUCUUAGUUUCGUCGUUCUAAAUCCAACGAGACCAUCCGCAAGGUCGUAGCUCUUCUAAUAGCUGAGAUAUGGCAUUUUUGAUGCCCAUUUUUGGCCUCAAAAACGGACGUCGGAAACGACUUAUUAACGAUUAUCAAAGUGCUCUCAUUCCCUUAGUUCUGCUUGGAUCCUGUUAUAACCCGGUGUUUUCGUAAUCUAGGUGAUCCAAAUAAGACGCUGGUAUACUUUGUUUGAUUUCGAAAAAAAUCAAUUUUUGGUGAAAAAAUUCGAUACGGGGGGGUAUACCCGAAAAAUGAAAAAACCCUAAGUUUGAAGGUCGAUAUCUCGGCUUCUAUGGGAGCUAUCGGGAAAAUUCCACCGGUUUUGUCUUAGUUUCGUCGUUCUAAAUCCAACGAGACCAUCCGCAAGGUCGUAGCUUUUCUAAUAGCUGAGAUAUGGCAUUUUUGAUGCCCAUUUUUGGCCUCAAAAACGGACGUCGGAAACGACUUAUUAACGAUUAUCAAAGUGCUCUCAUUCCCUUAGUUCUGCUUGGAUCCUGUUAUAACCCGGUGUUUUCGUAAUCUAGGUGAUCCAAAUAAGACGCUGGUAUACUUAGUUUGAUUUCGAAAAAAAUCAAUUUUUGGUGAAAAAAUUCGAUACGGGGGGGUAUACCCGAAAAAUGAAAAAACCCUAAGUUUGAAGGUCGAUAUCUCGGCUUCUAUGGGAGCUAUCGGGAAAAUUCCACCGGUUUUGUCUUAGUUUCGUCGUUCUAAAUCCAACGAGACCAUCCGCAAGGUCCUAGCUCUUCUAAUAGCUGAGAUAUGGCAUUUUUGAUGCCCAUUUUUGGCCUCAAAAACGGACGUCGGAAACGACUUAUUAACGAUUAUCAAAGUGCUCUCAUUCCCUUAGUUCUGCUUGGAUCCUGUUAUAACCCGGUGUUUUCGUAAUCUAGGUGAUCCAAAUAAGACGCUGGUAUACUUAGUUUGAUUUCGAAAAAAAUCAAUUUUUGGUGAAAAAAUUCGAUACGGGGGGGUAUACCCGAAAAAUGAAAAAACCCUAAGUUUGAAGGUCGAUAUCUCGGCUUCUAUGGGAGCUAUCGGGAAAAUUCCACCGGUUUUGUCUUAGUUUCGUCGUUCUGAAUCCAACGAGACCAUCCGCAAGGUCGUAGCUCUUCUAAUAGCCGAGAUAUGGCAUUUUUGAUGCCCAUUUUUGGCCUCAAAAACGGACGUCGGAAACGACUUAUUAACGAUUAUCAAAGUGCUCUCAUUCCCUUAGUUCUGCUUGGAUCCUGUUAUAACCCGGUGUUUUCGUAAUCUAGGUGAUCCAAAUAAGACGCUGGUAUACUUUGUUUGAUUUCGAAAAAAAUCAAUUUUUGGUGAAAAAAUUCGAUACGGGGGGGUAUACCCGAAAAAUGAAAAAACCCUAAGUUUGAAGGUCGAUAUCUCGGCUUCUAUGGGAGCUAUCGGGAAAAUUCCACCGGUUUUGUCUUAGUUUCGUCGUUCUAAAUCCAACGAGACCAUCCGCAAGGUCGUAGCUCUUCUAAUAGCUGAGAUAUGGCAUUUUUGAUGCCCAUUUUUGGCCUCAAAAACGGACGUCGGAAACGACUUAUUAACGAUUAUCAAAGUGCUCUCAUUCCCUUAGUUCUGCUUGGAUCCUGUUAUAACCCGGUGUUUUCGUAAUCUAGGUGACCCAAAUAAGA
rnacentral:lncRNA from 1 species